rnacentral:rRNA from 1 species
UACGUAGGGUGCAAGCGUUAAUCGGAAUUACUGGGCGUAAAGCGUGCGCAGGCGGUUUUGUAAGUCUGACGUGAAAUCCCCGGGCUCAACCUGGGAAUUGCGUUGGAGACUGCAAGACUGGAGUCUGGCAGAGGGGGGUAGAAUUCCACGUGUAGCAGUGAAAUGCGUAGAGAUGUGGAGGAACACCGAUGGCGAAGGCAGCCCCCUGGGUCAAGACUGACGCUCAUGCACGAAAGCGUGGGGAGCAAACAGG